UGGGAGCGCAGGGCAGGGAGCUCCCUCUGCGGGAGCGCGGAGGCGCUCCUACUUUCUCCGCACGUCACGGGGGCCGCUCAGCGCUCUCCCACCCCGGGCCGGGCGAGAGCGGCUCCCCAGCAGGGCGACGGAGGAGCGCGGCGAGAGCGAGCCGCCGCGGAGAGCCUGGGAACCCAGAGCGCAACCCUCGGCCCCCGCCGGGGCGGCCUCCGCAGCCGCACGGACCCCGCGUUCGGGGCUGGCCCGCUCCCUCUCGGCCCAUGUUCUAGAACUACAUCCUCGGUCACUGUCCCAGUACAGCCAUCUGUAGCACCUCCUCAGUAACUGACGGUGAUGUUCCUUUCCCUACGCUGUUUAUACCAUCAGCCUGGGGUUUUCUUUGGAGGUGACACAAAG
rnacentral:lncRNA from 1 species